GUGUUUUUCAGUCUAAUUUGCUGACUCCUAAAAAUUUUCAAAUGGAGGUGCAGACCCCUUUGGAAAUGUUAUAGGUUCAAAACCACUGUUCUAGAAACAUGUAGGAGCAGCAUGUGCGCUCCCUUGUGAAACCUGAAGUUUGCACCUAGGGUUAUGGGGGGGGAAGCAGAAAUACAAGGUGAAUAGUCUGGAUCUAUAUUAACAAUCUAGCCCAAUAAAUGAAGGUUUCUUGCUUGUAAUUGGAGAUUCUUUGAGAUGUGGGGUCCCUAUUUGUAUUCCACAUGCAGGUAUGCAUGAACACCACGCACUUGAGACUGGUAAAGCCUUCCAAGUAGCAACCCUUGGUCCACCCCUGUGCCCUGGUUCUCCUUGUGCUCUAUACUGAGGGCAUAAGGGGAGGCAUAAACCAGUCACCUCUGAAGUUCAUUCUCUACCACAAAUCCAAGUAUGAUCCAAAGCAGAGGGAAAGGAGAGCGGGUAGUGGAAUACAGAUAGGGACCACACAUCUCAAAGAGCCUCUAGUUACAGGUAAGUAACGUUUAUUUCCUCAAGUCCUGGUUCCUAUGUGUAUUCCACAAAUCAGUGACUGGCAAGUAGUACUCAAACAGAAAGGGUGCAAGGAUGCAGGCAGCAUAGAUGCCUGUAACAAUGGAAACCCUAAGGUUGCAUCAGCAGAAGAGGCUUGGACCAAUGCAUAAUGUCUUGUGAAAGCAUAGCUGUUACUCCUGGUUGCCCCCUUAAUGUCCAGCAUAGGAACAUCUCAAAGAGAUGGUGCUGUUCCUGCCUGUGCUCUAGUGAAAUGCUCCCAGGUAGGGAGAUGCAUCAACUGAUAGCAAAGGAGAAUAUAGCCAGAUAUCCAUGUAAGAGUUUGAACAGUAAGAGUCUUGAGUAGUCCGUGCUUCGUCUGCUACAGCAACAAAUAGUCUAGGUGAUUUCUUAACAGGUUUUGUUCUUUGCAGGUUGAACACUAUUGCUUGUUCUGACAUUGAAAGAAUGAAGUCUCCUCUCCAAAAGGAUGCGGCUUCAGUAAGAAUAUUGGGGUAGGAGUACAUAUUGCCAGUGUACAUCUAGCUGGUUCCAUAACAGCUUCAUUCACCAAGAGAGCUACCCUGUUGGGUUCUGCAGACUGCAGGAUAUCUAAGAGCUUCUGCUGCGUAUCUUGGACUUCUAAUAGAAAGUGAAGUUUUACCACCAUCCUCUGCAAGAGUUCUUAAUAUUGCCUAUGGUAAUAUGGUUCCAGCUCUUCAUCUUCCUCCUCCAUGUAAUCCUAUGGAGUUGAGUGCUAUUGUCUAGGAGAAGAGGGAUUAUGUGACUAUCUAGUAGAGCACAUGUAUCUAAGGAGUGUGCAUAAGGAUCCUCUGGACACCAACAGGGCCAGUAAGAAGGAUCAAAGGCUAGUUCAGGGGGCCCCCAAGGCAUUGGGUACCAGCAAUCUCCUGGAGGGUAAUCCUGCUUGGGCACAGGACAGGUCCAAGAAAUACCUAUGUGGGGGGGAGGCAGGAGGAUAGUUUAUCUUGGACAUCCAUUUCAGCCAAUGGGAAGGCUGGAUCCUGCUUUAAUCAGUGGCACCAUCAAAGCUGGUGAGAGGAAGCCCUGGCUCACAGAUGGAUUAGGAAAGUAAUUUCUUCUCCUUGAGGUUGUAUCCUCUUCUGGGGUUUCCCUGAGAAGGACUAGGCAGAAAAGCAGAAGAGACUGUGGGUCCAGGAGUGCAAAGAUACUAUCCCAGAGGGUAUUUGUCUCAGCCAAUCCAGGAGUACAAGGAUCCCAGUUGUUGGAUCUGUCAAAAUCCAUGCCAUGUCAGACUUAGUGGUCGGUGGUCUUUACAGGUUCAGUCCAGUACCAAGGUGAAAGAAAGAGUACCUCAUUUGGAGCUCUUGGUUGUUACAGUUGUCAGUCCUUCAGUUUGUUAGAGGUCAUGGCCAGCACUAGUGUUUGUUACCAAGGUUAGUAUCAUUGGGGCUUUACUCCUGAACAUUUUCCCUUCAUGGAUGGGAGGCUUAAAACGACUCAAGUCCUUGGGACCCGUGUGCAAAGGCUCAUCCAACUUGGAAGUUAGAGAGGAAUCCUUCUCCUUCAAGCAGGCUUAAAGGGGGAAUCUGAUUUUAUGCUUGCAAAAGCACUUCCUAGUUUCAUGAGAUGCCCAAGAGUGUCUGUAGAUCAAUCUGAUCCAGUCUGCUCCAGAGCUCAUGCUCGGAGGGUGUGUUGCUUGAGGACAGCAGCUGAGGUAAAGGGGGAAUCUCCGCAGACUGGAUCUGACUGACUGUCUCAUGGCUUUUUCCCUGAGGAACUUCUUCACUUGAAACGCUCGUCUCUCUCUGCUCCGGGAUGGGAAGGAGUAACAGAUACUGCGCCUGACUGAGAUAUGAGCAAGCUGAAGGCACCAAAGACACAGAAUUCCAACUCAGAGCAUGUGGUGGCAAGGAGGAACUGAAGAGGGAGCCAGCCCCCACCUCCUCUUAAAUCCUCUGUACAGAUCAUGAGAAAAACCAGAGCACAGGGAUGGACCAACAGAUGCUACUUGCAAGAUUUUCCAGUCUCGUUCACAUGUAGGCUAGUAACCCUUUUUCCUCAGAGUACUAUCAACAGAACAACCUCACAAAGUUCAAUAUCAGAAGCAAGUUCCCCAUAUACCAGGAGACAACUCAAAGUGACAUCGAACCCUGCUAGAACAGAUGCAAAACCUGCAGACAUAUCUCUACUGUUACAAUGAUCAAUACUGCCCCAAAAUACACCUUUCAAUAUUACAUGCUUAUCACAACAUAUGGCAUACCUCAUCCAGUGCACCAAAUGCCCCAACUAUGAGGGUGAAACCAGACAAUCAUCAUGCUCUUCAAUGAGCUCACACAGAAAAAUGGUAAAAAGGCAAAAACCCACUACCACUGGUGGGUGGACACUUUUCAAAGCAAUCACUCCAUACCUAAUCUUUCAUUACUUCUCCUCAGGGGAAACCUGCAGAACACUUUCAAAAAACAAGCCUGGGAACUUGAAUUCAUAGCUCUGCUAGACACAAGAAAACAUGGAUUUAACAAGGACACUGGUCUUAUGGCUCAUUACAACAAUUUAACAGACAACACCACCUGCUAUCCCUCAAUUAUCCACUUCAAACCCUUUAUGGAUAACAAUCUAACCCCCCAUUACCCACUUCAUUUCAGGUGACCGACUCCAAAAUCUUGCACCUUCUGUUUAUCAAUCUAUCCCAACCUGUAUUUAGCUCAGGCAUACCGCUUCCUUCCCUUGUCCUGAAAAAAAGCGCUCUGUGGCUCGAAAGUUUGUACCUUCCAACAAGCACUACAAACAAUUAAAAAUAGGAAUCUGGCUAGGAUACCAAGAUAAACCUCUAAUCUUUGUAAAAAAGAAAAACUGGUUAUUUAAUGACCAGCCGACAAGUGCACUCAGUCCUACUUCUUGUUCAGCCAAAUCAAUAAGAAAAAUAACUUUGCAUUUACGGGAGAUAUGCUAUCCGCUUCUUAUUUACAAUGUCACCUGAAAAGUGAGAACAGGUGCAUGGUACUUUUGUAGCCAGCACUGCAAGGAUUUUACAUGCCAAAUAUACUAAACAUUCGUAUGCCCCAUCAUGCUUCAGCCAGGCUGGGGCUGUACUGGCCAGGCAGCACUGCUCUGGCUGGGCGGUGAGGCUGGGGCCCCUAUGGCUGGCACGGGGCUGCUGGGACUGGCCAGCCCGGAGGUUAGAUGUCCUCUAGAUUAACCAGUAGACUAAUGCUUACUGGUUAACAUUUUACAUCCCUAAUUGCAAGGUAUUUACAUGCCAGCUAUGCUAAACAUUCAUGCUUUGGCCACCAUUCCAGAGGACAUGCUUCCAUGCUGACAAUGCUCAUUAACAAAAUAUCACGUUAAUUAAAUUUCUGACUGAACUCCUUGGGGGAGAACUGUAUG